rnacentral:tmRNA from 1 species
UGGCUUUGACAGCGUGUAGAAGUGGUAAGUAAGCAUGCAGAGCGAUGAUGGCUAUGCUCUAUAAUCUCAGACAUCAAAAAUUUAAUUGGCGAAAAUAACUACGCUCUUGCUGCUUAAUCGAAGUACAGUAGAUUAGCUUAAUCUCCGCAACAGUUGCAGAGACAAGACAUCACCCGAUUGCCUUUUCCUGAGACGUUUCGAUAAGGUGGUGCUAGAAAUUCAGGAAUAGAAAAAUUCAAGCCUUGGGGAUUUUUCAAAUUUUAAAGGAUAAGUUUCAGAUUGGUUGUCUUUUGCCUGUCUGAUUCCGAAAACCAAGAAAUGACUAAGCAUGUAGAAAGCU